AAGCGUGGGGAGCGAAUGGGAUUAGAUACCCCAGUAGUCCACGCUGUAAACGAUGUACAUUAGGCGCUAGGGAGUAUCGACCCUCUUUAGUGCCAAAGCUAACGCGUUAAAUGUACCGCCUGGGGAGUACGGCCGCAAGGCUAAAACUCAAAGGAAUUGACGGGGACCCGCACAAGCGGUGGAGCAUGUGGUUUAAUUCGACGAUAAGCGAGGAACCUUACCAAGUCUUGACAUGUAGCUGCAAGGUCUAGAAAUAGAUCCGCCUUCGAGGGUGCUACACAGGUGCUGCACGGUUGUCGUCAGCUCGUGCCGUGAGGUGUUCACUUAAGUGUGAAAACGAGCGCAACCCCUAUCCCGCGUUAUCAAUGUCACGGGAGACUGCCCAGGUUUAACUGGGAGGAAGGUGGGGAUGACGUCAAAUCAGCGUGAUCCUUACGCCUUGGGCCACACACGUGCUACAAUGGGAAGCAACAAAGGGACGCCAAACCGCAAGGUGGAGCAAAUCCCAUCAAACCUUCCCUCAGUUCGGAUUGGGGGCUGAAACCCGCCCCCAUAAAGUUGGAAUCGCUAGUAACCGUGAAUCAGCCUCGUCACGGUGAAUACGUUCUCGGGUUUUGUACACACCGCCCGUCAAGCGAUGGAAGCCGGUGGUAUCUGAAGCUCCGCCAAAUAGGUGGGGUUAGGGUAAAAUCGGUAACUGGCGCUAAGUCGUAACAAGGCAUCCGUAGCGGAAGCUGUGGAUG
rnacentral:rRNA from 1 species